rnacentral:rRNA from 1 species
ACGAACGCUGGCGGCGUGCCUAAUACAUGCAAGUCGAGCGGAAUGAUGAAGAAGCUUGCUUCUUCUGAUUUUAGCGGCGGACGGGUGAGUAACACGUGGGCAACCUACCUUGUAGAUUGGGAUAACUCCGGGAAACCGGGGCUAAUACCGAAUAAUCCAUUUUGCUUCAUGGCGAGAUGUUGAAAGACGGUUUCGGCUGUCACUACAAGAUGGGCCCGCGGCGCAUUAGCUAGUUGGUAGGGUAAUGGCCUACCAAGGCGACGAUGCGUAGCCGACCUGAGAGGGUGAUCGGCCACACUGGGACUGAGACACGGCCCAGACUCCUACGGGAGGCAGCAGUAGGGAAUCUUCCACAAUGGACGAAAGUCUGAUGAGCAACGCCGCGUGAGUGAAGAAGGUUUUCGGAUCGUAAAACUCUGUUGUAAGGGAAGAACACGUACGAGAGUAACUGCUCGUACCUUGACGGUACCUUAUUAGAAAGCCACGGCUAACUACGUG